rnacentral:rRNA from 1 species
UCCUACGGGAGGCAGCAGUGGGGAAUAUUGCACAAUGGGGGAAACCCUGAUGCAGCGACGCCGCGUGAAGGAAGAAGUAUCUCGGUAUGUAAACUUCUAUCAGCAGGGAAGAUAAUGACGGUACCUGACUAAGAAGCCCCGGCUAACUACGUGCCAGCAGCCGCGGUAAUGCGUAGGUGCCAGCAGCCGCGGUAAU